AGUGAACGCUGGCGGUAGGCCUAACACAUGCAAGUCGAACGGCAGCACAGUAAGAGCUUGCUCUUACGGGUGGCGAGUGGCGGACGGGUGAGGAAUACAUCGGAAUCUACUUUUUCGUGGGGGAUAACGUAGGGAAACUUACGCUAAUACCGCAUACGACCUACGGGUGAAAGCAGGGGAUCUUCGGACCUUGUGCGAUUGAAUGAGCCGAUGUCGGAUUAGCUAGUUGGCGGGGUAAAGGCCCACCAAGGCGACGAUCCGUAGCUGGUCUGAGAGGAUGAUCAGCCACACUGGAACGGAGACACGGUCCAGACUCCUACGGGAGGCAGCAGUGGGGAAUAUUGGACAAUGGGCGCAAGCCUGAUCCAGCCAUACCGCGUGGGUGAAGAAGGCCUUCGGGUUGUAAAGCCCUUUUGUUGGGAAAGAAAAGCAGCAGGUUAAUACCCCGCUGUUCUGACGGUACCCAAAGAAUAAGCACCGGCUAACUUCGUG
rnacentral:rRNA from 1 species